rnacentral:rRNA from 1 species
UACGGAGGUCUCAAGCGUUGUUCGGAUUUAUUGGGCGUAAAGGGUGCGUAGGUGGCUCUGUAAGUCGGGUGUGAAAUUUCGGAGCUUAACUCCGAAACUGCAUUCGAUACUGCGGUGCUUGAGGACUGGAGAGGAGACUGGAAUUCAUGGUGUAGCAGUGAAAUGCGUAGAGAUCAUGAGGAAGACCAGUGGCGAAGGCGGGUCUCUGGACAGUACCUGACGCUGAGGCACGAAGGCCAGGGGAGCAAACGGG